rnacentral:rRNA from 1 species
GACGAACGCUGGCGGCGUGCUUAACACAUGCAAGUCGAACGAAGUGGCGAACGGGUGAGUAACGCGUAAUCAACCUGCCCUUCAGAGGGGGACAACAGUUGGAAACGACUGCUCAUACCGCAUACUGAAGGAGGGGAUUGCGUCUGAUUAGCUAGCUGGGGGGGUAACGGCCCACCAAGGCGAGGAUCAGUAGCCGGUCUGAGAGGAUGAACGGCCACAUUGGGACUGAGACACGGCCAAGACCCCGACGGGAGGCAGCAGGGGGGAAUCUUCCGCAAUGCACGAAAGUCGGACGGAGCAACGCCGAGGGAGUGAUGACGGCCUUCGGGUUGUAAAGCUCUGUUAAGCGGGACGCGGUACCGGAAUAGAAAGCCACGGCUAACUACGUGCCAGCAGCCGCGGUAAUAC